rnacentral:tRNA from 1 species
UUGGAUUUAGGCAGAUUUUAGGCAGAGCGCCUGCUUUGGGAGCAGGAUGUCGCGGGUUCAAAUACUGGAAACCAAA